AUUUCCAAAAGGACAGGCUAGGUCUGAAGGAGGCUGGUGUUUAAGGAUUGUGAGAGGCUUGGGGUUGAGCUGGAGAGGGGAUGAGGCCCUCCGCUCUUCAGUGAACUGGGAGCCUCUUGCGGCUUCCCAGGUGCUGCUGCCAGAGUUCCAUUUAUCCCUCUUUUCUCCCAGGAUUUCGCAGUGCUUAGCAGCAUCUCAAUAAUUCUGCUUGCUCGGUGGAUGCAUUGAUGCUUUUCAGACACCAGCUGAAAACGUCAAGUUCCUGACACUGAUGCUGGCAACUGGUGGAGGGAAUGUGGAUGUCUGUCCAAAGGCCAACUGCCAAGCAGGAGAUCAGAUCCCUGACCCAGGUGUGGUGGUAUUUCUUUUCCACACCAGAUGCUGACUCUGAGGACUGCUCUGGGCCAGCGAGGCAACCUCCAUGCAUGCCACUAACCUCCCGGGAAGGAGGAAAGGAAGCAGGCUUUGAAUGAAGAAGAUUAAUGUGCCUGGUUUGCAGUGUUGGUUGAGGCACCAGACAGGUGGGUGGCAGAAAGCCAGUGAAGGUGAUCAGGAGCUUCAGUUCUGCUGGAGUUUGUGGCAUUAACCAGCAAGGAUGCUGUACUCACAGCCCUCUCUACCUGCUAUCUGAGUUGUUCCAGCCGGAGAAGGCAAUGGCACCCCACUCCAGUGUUCUUGCCUGGAGAAUCCCAGGGACGGUGGAGCCUGAUAGGCUGCCGUCUGUGGGGUCGCACAGAGUCAGACACGACUGAAGCGACUUAGCAGCAGCAGCAGCAGUUGUUCCAGCACAAUUUGGUGAAAAGACUACUCUUUUUUGGGGCUGUACCACAUGUCUUGUGGGAUUCCAGUCUCCUGACCAGGGAUCAAACCCAGGCCUAUGGUAGUGUAAGUGCUGACUCCUAACCACUGGACUGCCAGGGAUAUUCCCAGACUAUUCCUUUUCUAUUGAAUUAUCUUGGCACUCGUUGAAAACCAAUUGACCAUAGAUGUAUGACUUUAUUUCUGGACUCUCAGUUCUAUUCCAUUGAUCUAUGUAUCUUUCCUUAUGCCAGUACCACCUGGUGUUUUUUUUAAAUUAAAAAAAUAUAUAUUUGGCAGUUCCAGAUAUUAGUUGAGGCAUGUGGGCUCUUAGUUGCAGCUUUUGGGAUCCAGUUCCCUGACAAGCCCCUACCUCCCCUCCCCUGUUGGGAGUGUGGAAUCUUAGCCACUGGACCACCAGAAAAGUUCCCACACAGUCUUGAUUACAGUUGUGUUGGAGCAGGUUUUAAAAUUGUGAAGUAUGAGUCUUACAACUUUGUUCUUCCCCUACUAAGAUUGCUUUGAUCAUUCUAGGUCCCUUUUGUUUCCACCUGAAUUCUAGGAUCAGCUUGUCAAUUUCUGCAAAAAAAAGACAGUUGGAAUUUUGAUAGGCGCUAUGUUCAACUUGUCAAUCCGUUUGGAGAGUAUUGCCAUCUUAAUAAAUUUUAACAAUGUGUCUUCCAACUCAUGAACAAAAAUGUUUCCAUUUAUUUAA